UGACAGACUCGUCUAAUUUGCAGCAAGAACAAGUCACUGAUUACUGCAACAGUUAUUAAGUGGAGAUGUACCUUCUCUUAUUUAAUUUUUAUAUUCUUUGGUCUUCAGUAAAGAGUUGCACAAACAAUCAAGAAGCAUACCAAGUUACAGUAUCGUAUAUAAGUUAUAACGUGUGUGUUAAAAGUUUCCUCUGGUGGUGCACUAGGCGUGAAAAUAUUGUCCGAUAUCGGCCUGAAACGCGAUAUCGUUGUUGUACUGGCUGGUCGGGCUACAGGUGUCGAACACGUAA